rnacentral:rRNA from 1 species
CCUACGUGCGGCAGCAGUGAGGAAUAUUGGUCAAUGGGCGCGAGCCUGAACCAGCCAAGUAGCGUGAAGGAUGACUGCCCUACGGGUUGUAAACUUCUUUUAUAAAGGAAUAAAGUCAGGCUCGUGUGCCUUUUUGUAUGUACUUUAUGAAUAAGCAUCGGCUAACUCCGUGCCAGCAGCCGCGGUAAUACGGAGGAUCCGAGCGUUAUCCGGAUUUAUUGGGUUUAAAGGGGGCGUAGUGGGGUUGUUAAGUCAGUUGUGAAAGUAUGCGGCUCAACCGUAAGAUUGCAAUUGAUACUGGCAGUCUUGAGAAGAGUGGAGGUAGGCGGAAUUCGUGGUGUAGCGGUGAAAUGCUUAGAUAUCACGAAGAACUCCGAUUGCGAAGGCAGCUUACU